rnacentral:tmRNA from 1 species
GGGGCUGACAUGGUUUCGACUUCGCGCAUUGAGCCAGGGGAAGCGUGCCGGUGCAGGCUAGAGACCACCGUAAGCGUCGUAGCAACGAAUAAGCGCCGAGAAGAACUCUCAGCGUGACUACGCCCUCGCUGCCUAAUUAGCGAGCGCGUGUCUGUCGGCCCCGGGGUCGUUCCCGCCCCGGACGCCGGCAUCGACUCAGGGAACUUGCCUUCAGGCCGGGCCAACGGGGCCUGAGGGGACUUUUCACCGGUGGCUGGGCUCAUCAUCCGGACAUGUUUGCCUGAUCCGGAGAGCCGAGCAGAGAUGUUGCGCAAACUGCGCACGGAGAAGCCCUGGCAAGAUGUCGGAGGACCCGGGUUCGAUCCCCGGCAGCUCCACAA